ensembl:scaRNA
GAUCCACAUUGAAAAGUAGGGGAAGUGCGGCAUCCUCGCCACCCCCAGCCGCCUCUCUCCCAUCGGGCUCCAGUGGUGCUGUGGUGGGCAGAGGGCGCUGACAUUCGGUUGUGACCCACUUCUGCGUUGCUUGGCAGCCCAGGAAAGACGCCCUGGUUGGCAUCCCACAGCUGGUCACGAGAAGAUUUGAUUGUUGGGAAUGCUGAUAUCUGUGGUUAUGAUCUGACAUUUCAAGCUGAGACC